UAGGGAAUCUUCCACAAUGGACGCAAGUCUGAUGGAGCAACGCCGCGUGAGUGAAGAAGGUCUUCGGAUCGUAAAACUCUGUUGUUAGAGAAGAACACGAGUGAGAGUAACUGUUCAUUCGAUGACGGUAUCUAACCAGCAAGUCACGGCUAACUACGUGCCGG
rnacentral:rRNA from 1 species